GGAGGAGGUUAGUCAGGGCCUACAGGGCUCUUACUAAGAUUGAUACGUUGUGGGGUGGUACAAGAGGGUUCAGUCUUUUUUAAUAGCCACUUAGUCACAAACACUGGCCAAAGUUAGCAUUCAUAAUUGUUUUUUGCAUUUUUAACACACAAACAGAUAUAAAUUCUAACUUUGGUCAGUUUUUGUAACUAAGUGGCUACUAAAGAAAACUGGAUAUACCACAUAUUGAAUACCCUGGGUUGUCUACUUUUCAAAAAUAUAUGGUUUGAUGGG